AUUGAACGCUGGCGGCAUGCCUUACACAUGCAAGUCGGACGGCAGCACGGGGGCAACCCUGGUGGCGAGUGGCGAACGGGUGAGUAAAGCAUCGGAACGUACCUGGGAGUGGGGGAUAACGUAGCGAAAGUUACGCUAAUACCGCAUAUUCUGUGAGCAGGAAAGCGGGGGAUCGCAAGACCUCGCGCUUCUGGAGCGGCCGAUGUCGGAUUAGCUGGUUGGUGGGGUAAAGGCCUACCAAGGCGACGAUCCGUAGCGGGUCUGAGAGGAUGAUCCGCAACACUGGGACUGAGACACGGUCCAGACUCCUACGGGAGGCAGCAGUGGGGAAUUUUGGACAAUGGGGGCAACCCUGAUCCAGCCAUGCCGCGUGAGUGAAGAAGGCCUUCGGGUUGUAAAGCUCUUUCGGCCGGGAAGAAAUCGCACGGGCUAAUACCCUGUGUGGAUGACGGUACCGGAAUAAGAAGCACCGGCUAACUACGUGCCAGCCGCCGCAGUAAGAC
rnacentral:rRNA from 1 species